rnacentral:lncRNA from 1 species
GAUGCUUCGAUCAGAUUGGUAGGCCUAGUGGAGAGAGUCAUUUGAGCGGGAUUUCUUCCAGGAUUUCAACCAGCAAUGGCUCAGGCCAGGAGUGAGAUUGCUUUUCAGGAGACUGUCAAUGUGGGCCGCAGAGUUGAGGUGGUCAUAGGUCGGAUAAAAGGCCCCAUCAUGCAGACAUAUUCAGUGGUACCUCAUCUGGAGGUAGGGGUACUUAUGGUAGAGGCCAUCCUCCCAAGCCCUUUCAGUCAGAUCCCUAUGUCACUCAUGGUACUUCAAAUGUUCA